rnacentral:rRNA from 1 species
GACGAACGCUGGCGGCGUGCUUAACACAUGCAAGUCGAACGGAAAGGCCCUGCUUUUGUGGGGUGCUCGAGUGGCGAACGGGUGAGUAACACGUGAGUAACCUGCCCUUGACUUUGGGAUAACUUCAGGAAACUGGGGCUAAUACCGGAUAGGAGCUCCUGCUGCAUGGUGGGGGUUGGAAAGUUUCGGCGGUUGGGGAUGGACUCGCGGCUUAUCAGCUUGUUGGUGGGGUAGUGGCUUACCAAGGCUUUGACGGGUAGCCGGCCUGAGAGGGUGACCGGCCACAUUGGGACUGAGAUACGGCCCAGACUCCUACGGGAGGCAGCAGUGGGGAAUAUUGCACAAUGGGCGGAAGCCUGAUGCAGCAACGCCGCGUGCGGGAUGACGGCCUUCGGGUUGUAAACCGCUUUCGCCUGUGACGAAGCGUGAGUGACGGUAAUGGGUAAAGAAGCACCGGCUAACUACGUGCCAGCAGCCGCGGCGAUACGUAGGGUGCGAGCGUUGUCCGGAUUUAUUGGGCGUAAAGGGCUCGUAGGUGGUUGAUCGCGUCGGAAGUGUAAUCUUGGGGCUUAACCCUGAGCGUGCUUUCGAUACGGGUUGACUUGAGGAAGGUAGGGGAGAAUGGAAUUCCUGGUGGAGCGGUGGAAUGCGCAGAUAUCAGGAGGAACACCAGUGGCGAAGGCGGUUCUCUGGGCCUUUCCUGACGCUGAGGAGCGAAAGCGUGGGGAGCGAACAGGCUUAGAUACCCUGGUAGUCCACGCUGUAAACGGUGGGUACUAGGUGUGGGGUCCAUUCCACGGGUUCCGUGCCGUAGCUAACGCUUUAAGUACCCCGCCUGGGGAGUACGGCCGCAAGGCUAAAACUCAAAGGAAUUGACGGGGCCCCGCACAAGCGGCGGAGCAUGCGGAUUAAUUCGAUGCAACGCGUAGAACCUUACCUGGGUUUGACAUGGAUCGGGAGUGCUCAGAGAUGGGUGUGCCUCUUUUGGGGUCGGUUCACAGGUGGUGCAUGGCUGUCGUCAGCUCGUGUCGUGAGAUGUUGGGUUAAGUCCCGCAACGAGCGCAACCCUUGUUCACUGUUGCCAGCACGUUAUGGUGGGGACUCAGUGGAGACCGCCGGGGUCAACUCGGAGGAAGGUGGGGAUGACGUCAAGUCAUCAUGCCCCUUAUGUCCAGGGCUUCACGCAUGCUACAAUGGCUGGUACAGAGAGUGGCGAGCCUGUGAGGGUGAGCGAAUCUCGGAAAGCCGGUCUCAAUUCGGAUUGGGGUCUGCAACUCGACCUCAUGAAGUCGGAGUCGCUAGUAAUCGCAGAUCAGCAACGCUGCGGUGAAUACGUUCCCGGG